UGUUCUCUGCCGUGUUCGCUAGUGGGCUUAAGUACCUUUGAGCCUUAAAUACAACCCCCGGGGACGGGAUUGUGGCGUCCUGUGCAUGUCCGCCUGACGGAAAGCCUUAGACGGUCACACAUGUUCCCACUUGAACCUUUGGUUCAAGGUCUCAUGCUCCGACGGCAUGGCGGAGAACUC
rnacentral:other from 1 species